AUACGAUGAAGAGUUUGAUCCUGGCUCAGGAUGAACGCUAGCGGCAGGCUUAACACAUGCAAGUCGAGGGGUAUAGUUCUUCGGAAUUAGAGACCGGCGCACGGGUGCGUAACGCGUAUGCAAUCUACCUUUCACAAAGGGAUAGCCCAGAGAAAUUUGGAUUAAUACCUUAUAGUAUAUCGAGUUGGCAUCAACAUGAUAUUAAAGAUUUAUCGGUGAAAGAUGAGCAUGCGUCCCAUUAGUUAGUUGGUAAGGUAACGGCUUACCAAGACAACGAUGGGUAGGGGUCCUGAG
rnacentral:rRNA from 1 species